rnacentral:misc_RNA from 1 species
GAUGAAGAACGUAGCGAAAUGCGAUACUUGGUGUGAAUUGCAGAAUUCAGUGAAUCAUCGAAUCUUUGAACGCACAUUGCGCCCCUUGGUAUUCCGAGGGGCAUGCCUGUUCGAGCGUCAUUAUAACCCCUCAAGCUCAGCUUGGUGUUGGGGCCUGCUGCACUGGCAGCCCUUAAAAUCAGUGGCGGCGCCAUCUGGCUCUAAGCGUAGUAAUUCUUCUCGCUAUGGAGUCCUGGUGGAUGCUUGCCAUCAACCCCCAAUUUUUCUAUGGUUGACCUCGGAUCAGGUAGGGAUACCCGCUGAACUUAAGCAUAUCAAUAACGGAGGA